rnacentral:rRNA from 1 species
GACGAACGCUGGCGGCGUGCCUAAUACAUGCAAGUAGAACGCUGAAGAGAGGAGCUUGCUCUUCUUGGAAGAGUUGCGAACGGGUGAGUAACGCGUAGGUAACCUGCCUUGUAGCGGGGGAUAACUAUUGGAAACGAUAGCUAAUACCGCAUAACAAUGGGUGACCCAUGUCAUUUAUUUGAAAGGGGCAAAUGCUCCACUACAAGAUGGACCUGCGUUGUAUUAGCUAGUAGGUGAGGUAACGGCUCACCUAGGCGACGAUACAUAGCCGACCUGAGAGGGUGAUCGGCCACACUGGGACUGAGACACGGCCCAGACUCCUACGGGAGGCAGCAGUAGGGAAUCUUCGGCAAUGGGGGCAACCCCGACCGAGCAACGCCGCGUGAGUGAAGAAGGUUUUCGGAUC